UAUUUCUGCAUCAUAAAACCUCCAUUAGAAACCCCUAAACAACAGGAGUUUGGAGAGCUUCCUAGUUGGUGAGCACACUGAGGUGCUGGGAGGGUGGCUCUGCCCACCGCUCCCACCCCUUGCCCUACUCACCUCUUCCGUGUGGCUGUUUCUGAGUUGUUCCCUUUAUAAUAAAUUGGUAACCCUUCCCUCAACCCCUCAAAGCAGCAAGAUUUAUGCAAGCCUCCUGUGACAGCAGAGCUUCUGUCCCAUCAGUAGCCUUAUCAAAUCUGUCCUAUAGCCCCAUCAGACCUGAGCGAACACCUGCUUUCCAGGUGCAAGACCAUAGAGGCUGAGAAGGAAGAGAAGUCAGCAACAGAAAUAACCUCACUAACAGCAAGACCCCCAGAGAAGCUAAAAACAUUCCAGGCAGGGCUCACAACAGCUCUCAGAGCAGAAUUCCCAAGGCAUCACUUAUGGUUUCUACAAGAGCUUUUGCCUUGCUGUUCCUUCCCCUACAUGCGACCUUUCAGCCCCAGUGAGUCCAGAGGCUUUCUGCAGAGAGAACUGAGUCAGACUGUGAAGAAGAGGCUUUGGGCAGCUAAGAGCUCCAAAGCAGAGGAAGGAUGAAGGGUGGCUGCCAACCCCACUGCUUUGUGGAAGUUCCACACCUUGCUGAGGACACCUCAUGCCUCUCAUAGGAUCCUGACCUGCUGACGUACAGACAGAAUAUGUGAGAAAUACAGGAAUGAUAUAUCCCAGAUCAAACUGCUUCUUAAGCUCGUGUUAUGGAAGAAAAAGACAUAUGCAACAUAAUGGCAGCUCACUGCAGCUGAAGUAAUAUAAAGUCAAAGGAGUCCCUCUUGCAUCAGGAGUCCCUUUUGCAUCAGUACAAAGGAGUCCCUCUAAUGAUGAGAUAUUUGUGAGAUACCAAAAGGACUUUUUGGUGCCCUUAAGUAAUACCAUGUAGGUAGCUGCCAGUUGGUCAUGAAAGAAAAACUAUAGCUAUAAGCCAGAAGAGGAAACAUCUGCAGAGAUUCCUGCUGGAGUGCGAGCACUGCGAUGUGGUGAUGUGAGAGAUGGAAGAGUCCUGAAGUUCUUCCCAGGUCCCUCCUACCUCCAUCCUUCCCAGGAUCACCCAGGGCCACCUGACUCCCCCACUGUUCCAACCCCUGCCUGUUCUCCUGUCCACACUAGGGCUACAUGUGUUCUGAGCACAAAGAUAGAACCAGCAUCCUCUGCAUCGCUCACCUAUUCCCUCUGGAGGCUGACUGCUCUGGGGUCUCAGGGAGACCGGGAGGCUGCAGCUCUCUCCUCUGACACCUUUCUGAAUAGCACAGACAACUCUUCUCAAGACUCUCUGAGGCUGAGGCUUUCUGACAUUUAGUCUAAGGUCCCUGGGACACAACAGCAGAGGCUUCCUGCCCCUCACCUUUCAGUCAUCAGGACAAUGUUUUGUUGCUUGUUUGCUUCCUCAGCCACCCUUGGAGAUAGGCAGGAGACCUCAGAUAACCCCAGUUGUGAGAGAGAUCAUCGUGGUCUCAGAGAACAAAUGCUGCAGAUGCUGUCACGUCUCUUGCUCGACUGGUUAGAACCUUUUGGUUCCUUUGGGGAUGAUAAAAACACACCACGUUCUCCUCUUCUACAAUUCAUUCAAAAAGUUAGCAUCGGUUUCCAUGUUUUUGAUUCUGCCACCACUGCGAACCUAUUCUUCCAAGUGCCACAAAUAUUAUAAUAACAUUUCUCUUCCUAUUACUCUUCCUUCAAAUAAUUUCUAAGGAACAUACCCAAUAGCACAGGAAUCAGGUAGUCAGGGGAGCCAGGAGCCUGCAGACCUGCACUUUGCUUUGGAUUGUGGCUCUAUCCAUCCACUGUGUGCCCUUGAACAAGAUACCACUCUUGUCAGCCUCGAUUUCACCACUUGUUAAAGAGAUGUACCAGAGUUUGCUCCCCCUUCCUCAGUCUUUCCUCGAGGACUGGACGAAGCCACAUAUAUCACAGCGACAUGGGAUGUGCAGGGUAUGAUACAUGCGCAUUGUCAUCAGGCAGCAGAACAAAAUAGUUAACAGCGCAGAUGCUGGAGCCACACUGCCAGUAUUCUUCUCUGGAAAAUCAGGAUAAGGAUGUAGAUUGAAAGCUCUGAAAUCCCCAAAGCCCAGAAAACCAAAAGCUUUUUCAUAAGUGGCAUACUCAAACUUAUUUGGUGUCACAUUCAAUGUGAUGGUUUUGGUGGGCUUUGUCUAGCCCACUGGCUGCAGAAAUGUCCAUGUGCUUGUUUACUAAGUGCUGCCCUAGACCCCUCUGGGAAUCAUUACACAAUACACAGUGUAGGCACCAUAUUGUUUUUCUAUGAUAUGAACAAUUCAGUAUUGGAAACACAUUUGGCCUCAAGGAUUUUGGAUAUAGGAUUGUGGGCCUUCAAUACUGAACUCACAGGGCUGCUAUGAGCAGUCAGUUGAUUCAGGUAAAGCUCUAAUAAGAGUGUCUGGCCCACAGUAGGUGCUCAAUGGAUGUUACCUGCCAUUACUGUUCCUUCUUUUAUGCAACCCUGAGCACCUCGAACAAUUUCCACAUUGCCCUGGACCUCCUAUUUGUGCCCUGGAACCAUUAAUGUCUGGAUUUCUCUCUAUUCAAUCACACAGCACCAGACUCACCUGAGGUUCUGUCUUCUCAACUCUCCACCAAAAUGCUCUCCUUGUUAGGAAUGUGGAAAUCCUCUCGGUAGCAACCCUCACACCCUUCCCUCUGCCUUCUUGGUAGUGAAGGAGGCUGGGAGAGGGCUCUGGGAAGAAUCCCAGCAGUGUCUCAGACACCUAGCUCACCCCGACAUACCUCCUAUGGGCUGCAUGGCUGAGAUCCCAUAUGUGUGGGUGCAGCUCUUCUUCCUUUAGAGAAAUUAAUCCCACCUUUCUAGACCUCUGUUUCUCAUGAAUAAAACACAACAGUCAGCCUAGAUGAGAAUGACAUGCCUUCUGGCCCCCUGAAAUCCUACCUCCCGGACAUCUUGGAUGCCACUUCAGCAGUCAGGUGAUGUGAGAUGGGGGAUGAAAGCUACCUCACUUCAGCUCCAAGUAUGGUAGUACAUCCAGCCCCAAGAGGGCCAAAUGCAAAGCAUUCUGGAACUUUGUUACCACAAGACAUUAGAUCCUCUUUUCCUGACUCCUGGGUACUGAAACCAACCUGACUGUAGAAACAGGCCUUUGGUCAUCCUCUGGACAAGUUCAGACAUGAACUGGACAGUCUCACAUUCAAGGAGGUGCAGCUGGGAGCCAGAGGGCUGCAGGCAAGGAUGCCACACACUGAUUCAGGCAGAGACCAGGCAGCACACUGACCAGUACCGGGAUCUGGUCCAAAGACAAUAGAACCCUGAUGUGGUGGUGAGAGAGGCUGAGGCAGGAGCAGGAGAGGGACUUUGGAGAGUGACUGUGGUUCAGGGUAGGGUUCUAGUUCAGGAGGGAGACACAUAUGAGGGAGGGUGUGUGAGGAGAGGGGAAACAUGACAGAAGACUGGUGCUGUAGACUCGGUUACCCAGAGGUGGGGUGAAUCACCAUGACCCUAAAAUCAUGGGCUCCCAGGGCUCUUUCCUAGAGCACCAAAUGCUGCCAUAUUGUGACAAGACACUGUUAGAUGCCAGUCUCACCUCCCUGUUAUCCUUAUGAAAAGAACCCAAUUUUAUUUUAGAAACAGUCUAACUGAUUAAAAACACUUACAUCCCCAGAGUCCCAGGUAUGUUUAGUAAGCUAAGCAGACAUUCCUGCAAAGGGCUGCAGGAAAAUGUGUUAAAGGGGUCAAUUCAGUUGGCAUUUGCUUUUCCCCUUUAUCCUUUCCCCCCUUUUUUUGUGCAUGGAACUCAUACAGGAUGCUGAAAGAAAAAACAGCCGUCUAGUGAGCAGGAAGCCCCAAGUCACAGGCUCAGCCUGGGGGAUCUGAAAGCUAAAAGAAGCCGAAGACCCUGAUGGCUCUGGAGAAGUCACAAGACAGCCCUGAAUGCUCUUGCAGCCUCCUGUCAUGUCAUAAGACCCCCAUUUCAAGAGGGUCCUGCUGCAUACCCAGAAGGAAGGAAUACUGCACAGAGAAGCUAAGAGGAAUUUAAACAGACAGACCUUGCUGGACUUUCCUACUCAGUCUAUUAACAUUAGAUCAUACCCUUUCUGCCCAGUUAUUUUUCUCCAUGGCUGUCCGUACUUCAUUGAACCCAAGCCUAAAAAUGGGCAGUUUCCCCGUAUCUUUGGGUCUUUAUUCUGAAGGCUCCGUGUAAAACUGUAAUCAAAUAAAUCUGUAUACCUUUUC
rnacentral:lncRNA from 10 species